rnacentral:rRNA from 1 species
ACGAUGGAGCAGCUACCAUGCAGUCGAGCGGUAGCACAGAGAGCUUGCUCUCGGGUGACGAGCGGCGGACGGGUGAGUAAUGUCUGGGAAACUGCCUGAUGGAGGGGGAUAACUACUGGAAACGGUAGCUAAUACCGCAUAACGUCGCAAGACCAAAGAGGGGGACCUUCGGGCCUCUUGCCAUCAGAUGUGCCCAGAUGGGAUUAGCUAGUAGGUGGGGUAACGGCUCACCUAGGCGACGAUCCCUAGCUGGUCUGAGAGGAUGACCAGCCACACUGGAACUGAGACACGGUCCAGACUCCUACGGGAGGCAGCAGUGGGGAAUAUUGCACAAUGGGCGCAAGCCUGAUGCAGCCAUGCCGCGUGUAUGAAGAAGGCCUUCGGGUUGUAAAGUACUUUCAGCGGGGAGGAAGGUGUUGAGGUUAAUAACCUCAGCAAUUGACGUUACCCGCAGAAGAAGCACCGGCUAACUCCGUGCCAGCAGCCGCGGUAAUACGGAGGGUGCAAGCGUUAAUCGGAAUUACUGGGCGUAAAGCGCACGCAGGCGGUCUGUCAAGUCGGAUGUGAAAUCCCCGGGCUCAACCUGGGAACUGCAUUCGAAACUGGCAGGCUAGAGUCUUGUAGAGGGGGGUAGAAUUCCAGGUGUAGCGGUGAAAUGCGUAGAGAUCUGGAGGAAUACCGGUGGCGAAGGCGGCCCCCUGGACAAAGACUGACGCUCAGGUGCGAAAGCGUGGGGAGCAAACAGGAUUAGAUACCCUGGUAGUCCACGCCGUAAACGAUGUCGACUUGGAGGUUGUGCCCUUGAGGCGUGGCUUCCGGAGCUAACGCGUUAAGUCGACCGCCUGGGGAGUACGGCCGCAAGGUUAAAACUCAAAUGAAUUGACGGGGGCCCGCACAAGCGGUGGAGCAUGUGGUUUAAUUCGAUGCAACGCGAGAACCUUACCUACUCUUGACAUCCAGAGAACUUAGCAGAGAUGCAUUGGUGCCUUCGGGAACUCUGAGACAGGUGCUGCAUGCUGUCGUCAGCUCGUGUUGUGAAAUGUUGGGUUAAGUCCCGCAACGAGCGCAACCCUUAUCCUUUGUUGCCAGCGGGUCC